UACGUAUGGUGCAAGCGUUAUCCGGAUUUACUGGGUGUAAAGGGAGCGCAGGCGGCGCGUUAAGUCUGAUGUGAAAACCCGCGGCUCAACUGCGGGACUGCAUUGGAAACUGGCGGGCUUGAGUGCCGGAGAGGCAAGCGGAAUUCCUAGUGUAGCGGUGAAAUGCGUAGAUAUAUGGAAGAACACCAGUGGCGAAGGCGGCCGCCUGGCCUGUUGCUGACGCUGAGGCACGAAAGCGUGGGGAGCAAAUAGG
rnacentral:rRNA from 1 species